rnacentral:rRNA from 1 species
CCUACGGGUGGCAGCAGUGGGGAAUAUUGCACAAUGGGGGGAACCCUGAUGCAGCGACGCCGCGAGAGUGAAGAAGUAUUUCGGUAUGUAAAGCUCUAUCAGCAGGGAAGAAGAUGACGGUACCUGACUAAGAAGCCCCGGCUAACUAAGUGCCAGCAGCCGUGGUAAUAACGAGGGGGCAAGCGUUAGCCGGAUUUACUGGGUGGAAAGGGAGCGUAGACGGCAGGGCAAGUCUGGAGUGAAAGCCCGGGGCCCAACCCCGGGACUGCUUUGGAAACUGCCAUGCUAGAGUGCUGGAGAGGUAAGCGGAAUGCCUAGUGUAGCGGUGAAAUGCGUAGAUAUUAGGAGGAACACCAGUGGCGAAGGCGGCUUACUGGACAGUAACUGACGUUGAGGCUCGAAAGCGUGGGGAGCAAACAGGAUUAGAUACCCUAGUAGUC